CAGAGGCCUCAAGCGUUAGGCGGAAUCACUGGGCUUAAAGCGUGUGUAGGCGGAUCGUUAAGUGUCUUGUGAAAUCCCCCGGCUCACCCGGGGAACGUGCUGGGCGAUACUGGCGAUCUUGGGCCAACUAGGGGCGAACUGGAACAAGCGGUGGAGCGGUGAAAUGCGUAGAUAUCGCUUGGAACGCCGAAGGUGAAACAGGUUGCUGGGUUGUGCCGACGCUGAGACACGAAAGCCAGGGGAGCAAACGGGAUUAGAUACCCCGGUAGUCCUGGCCCUAAACGAUGUCCACUAGAUUGCGGCGGGUUUGACCCCGUCGCGGUCGAAGCAAAAGUGUUAAGUGGACCGCCUGGGAAGUACGGUCGCAAGGCUA
rnacentral:rRNA from 1 species